rnacentral:lncRNA from 1 species
AGUUCGCCUUCCGUGGUCCGACUCCUUCGCGUUUCGCGGCGGCGACAGUUCGCCUUCUUCUUCGCCUUGUGUUUUUCCACUUCCGCGUGUCCCUGUUUGUCUGUGUGUAUGUGUGCGCCCAAUCCACCCCUACCGUUUUAUAUUUUGUUUUCUUUUUUCCUCUCUUCUUACAUUUCUUGUGCCAGCACUGCCAGCAAGCUAGUGUGCCGUUGUUGUCGUCGGCGUGCGUGGCCUCGAGCCUCGUCGUGUGUUAGUGGAA